AUAUCUCUCUGUACGGGAAGGAUGAGAAGCUUCGACUAAGGUUCGAUUCGAGCGCAGCGAGAAAGCGUUGCCGCAGGCAACGACCCGAAGGGC
rnacentral:sRNA from 1 species